AUACGGGGGGAGCAAGCGUUGUCCGGAAUCACUGGGCGUAAAGGGCGCGUAGGCGGAUUAUUAAGUCAGAAGUGAAAUCCACCCGCUUAACGGGUGAUCUGCUUUUGAAACUGAUAGUCUUGAAACAUGAAGAGGAGAAUGGAAUUCCAGGUGUAGCGGUGAAAUGCGUAGAUAUCUGGAAGAACACCGGUGGCGAAGGCGGUUCUCUGGUCAUGAUUUGACGCUAAAGCGCGAAAGCGUGGGGAGCGAACAGGAUUAGAAACCCCGGUAGUCC
rnacentral:rRNA from 1 species